rfam:Candidatus Neoehrlichia lotoris str. RAC413 nlRAC413.contig.0_1, whole genome shotgun sequence.
GGUCCCGUAGCUCAGUUGGUAGAGCAACUGACUCUUAAUCAGUUUGUCGUGUGUUCGAUUCACACCGGGAUCA